rnacentral:rRNA from 1 species
UACGAAGGGGGCGAGCGUUGUUCGGAAUUACUGGGCGUAAAGGGCGCGUAGGCGGCCGAUCAAGUCAGAUGUGAAAGUCCUGGGCUUAACCUGGGGACUGCAUUUGAUACUGAUUGGCUUGAAUGCAGGAGAGGAUAGCGGAAUUCCCGGUGUAGAGGUGAAAUUCGUAGAUAUUGGGAAGAACACCGGUGGCGAAGGCGGCUAUCUGGACUGUGAUUGACGCUGAGGCGCGAAAGCGUGGGGAGCAAACAGG